rnacentral:rRNA from 1 species
AUUGAACGCUGGCGGCAUGCCUUACACAUGCAAGUCGAACGGUAACGGGCCUUCGGGUGCCGACGAGUGGCGAACGGGUGAGUAAUGUAUCGGAACGUACCUUUCAGUGGGGGAUAACGUAGCGAAAGUUACGCUAAUACCGCAUAUUCUGUGAGCAGGAAAGCAGGGGAUCGCAAGACCUUGCGCUGAUUGAGCGGCCGAUAUCAGAUUAGCUAGUUUGUGAGGUAAAGGCUCACCAAGGCGACGAUCUGUAGCGGGUCUGAGAGGAGUAUCAGCAACACUGGAACUGAGACACGGUCCAGACUCCUACGGGAGGCAGCAGUGGGGAAUUUUGGACAAUGGGGGCAACCCUGAUCCAGCCAUGCCGCGUGAGUGAAGAAGGCCUUCGGGUUGUAAAGCUCUUUCGGCCGGGAAGAAAUCGUAUCAGCUAAUACCUGGUGCGGAUGACGGUACCGGCAUAAGAAGCACCGGCUAACUACGUGCCAGCCGCCGCAGUAACAC